rnacentral:rRNA from 1 species
UCCGGGGGGGGCAAGCGUUGUUCGGAAUUACUGGGCGUAAAGGGCGGGUAGGCGGCCAACUAAGUCCGACGUGAAAUCCCCAGGCUUAACCUGGGAACUGCGUCGGAUACUGGAUGGCUUGAAUCCGGGAGAGGGAUGCAGAAUUCCAGGUGUAGCGGUGAAAUGCGUAGAUAUCUGGAGGAAUACCGGUGGCGAAGGCGGCAUCCUGGACCGGCAUUGACGCUGAAGCGCGAAAGCUAGGGGAGCAAACGGG